ACGGGUGCGUAACGCGUAUGCAACCUACCUAUCACUGGGGGAUAGCCCGGGGAAACCCGGAUUAAUACCGCAUAAAACAGGGGCACCGCAUGGUGAUAUUUGUUAAAGAUUUAUUGGUGAUAGAUGGGCAUGCGUUCGAUUAGCUAGUUGGCGGGGUAACGGCCCACCAAGGCGACGAUCGAUAGGGGAGCUGAGAGGUUGAUCCCCCACACGGGCACUGAGAUACGGGCCCGACUCCUACGGGAGGCAGCAGUAGGGAAUAUUGGGCAAUGGAUGCAAGUCUGACCCAGCCAUGCCGCGUGCCGGAUGAAGGCCCUCAGGGUUGUAAACGGCUUUUAUUCGGGAAGAAGAGCAGGGAUGCGUCCUUGUGUGACGGUACCGAAUGAAUAAGCACCGGCUAACUCCGUGCCAGCAGCCGCGGUAAUACGGAGGGUGCGAGCGUUGUCCGGAUUUAUUGGGUUUAAAGGGUGCGUAGGUGGCUGUUUAAGUCAGUGGUGAAAUACGGUUGCUCAACAAUCGAGGUGCCAUUGAUACUGAAUAGCUUGAAAUAAUUGGAGGCUGCCGGAAUGGAUGGUGUAGCGGUGAAAUGCAUAG
rnacentral:rRNA from 1 species